rnacentral:rRNA from 1 species
AGUGAACGCUGGCGGUAGGCCUAACACAUGCAAGUCGAACGGCAGCACAGUAAGAGCUUGCUCUUACGGGUGGCGAGUGGCGGACGGGUGAGGAAUACAUCGGAAUCUACUUUUUCGUGGGGGAUAACGUAGGGAAACUUACGCUAAUACCGCAUACGACCUACGGUUGAAAGCAGGGGAUCUUCGGACCUUGCGCGAUUGAAUGAGCCGAUGUCGGAUUAGCUAGUUGGCGGGGUAAAGGCCCACCAAGGCGACGAUCCGUAGCUGGUCUGAGAGGAUGAUAAGCCACACUGGAACUGAGACACGGUCCAGACUACUACGGGAGGCAGCAGUGGGGAAUAUUGGACAAUGGGCGCAAGCAUGAUCCAGCCAUACCGCGUGGGUGAAGAAGGCCUUCGGGUUGUAAAGCCCUUUUGUUGGGAAAGAAAAGCAGCAGGUUAAUACCCAGCUGUUCUGACGGUACCCAAAGAAUAAGCACCGGCUAACUUCGUG